AUUGAACGCUGGCGGCAGGCCUAACACAUGCAAGUCGAACGGUAACAGGAAGAAGCUUGCUUCUUUGCUGACGAGUGGCGGACGGGUGAGUAAUGUCUGGGAAACUGCCUGAUGGAGGGGGAUAACUACUGGAAACGGUAGCUAAUACCUCAUAACUUCGCAAGCCCAAAGAGGGGUACCUUCUUGCCUCUUGCCAUCGUAUGUGCCCAGAUGGUAUUCGCUAGUAGGUGGGGUAACGGCUCACCUAGUCGACGAUUCCUAGCUGGUCUGAGAGACUGACAGCCCACACUGGAACUGAGCCACGGUCAAGACUACUACGGGAGGCCGCAGAGGGGAACAUUGGACAAUGGGGGCAAGCAUGAUGCAGCCAUGCCGCGUGUAUGAAGAAGGCCUUCGGGUUGUAAAGUACUUCCAGCGGGGAGGAAGGGAGUAAAGUUAAUACCUUUGCUCAUUGACGUUACCCGCAGAAGAAGCACCGGCUAACUACGUG
rnacentral:rRNA from 1 species